rnacentral:ribozyme from 1 species
CUUGUUUUACAAUUUCGAAACAAGUAGAAACUCAAUGUCGCUGAAGAUGAUACACAAGAUACGCUCUCCACCUCCUACUUCUACUCAAUACGUCCCCGUCGUACAGAACGGUAACAUGUCUCUCAAUUAUCCAAGCUUGGGUUUACGAGAAAACCCAAUCCCUUGGGCGGAUGGCAUGACAAAAUGAGAAAGGG